GAAUUUGUGAGAUAGUGUUAUUUGUUACAUGAGAGUCAAUUAUGUGGUACAUGUGGAUGGUUUCAUAACUGUCCUGGGUUCUGACAAAUUCAGGCAAAUGUCAGUAUGAGUAUUCCCUUAAGCUGUAGUGUGACAUCCCAAUGACAAUAGCUGUAAAAUGACUGAUGUUUCACAUGCCUUACAUUUUUUGUUUGAUUUUUAAGCAAACAAUCCUGUGAAAGCAGCACAACUGUGUGCUAAAAAUACUCCUGAAGUUCAUAACUACCAGCCACAGUAUCAUCCUAAUAUACAUCCUGCUCAGCCACACUGGCAUCCACACACCCCUGGGAACAUAAGGCCACCCUAUCAUGAUGACAGGCCAUAUUGGAAACCCCCCACAAGUGGAGAGGACAACAGUUUACGAUAUAUUCAAGAACAGAACCAGAAGAAUUUAGGAGAAGUCCAAAGUAUGGUGUACCAAGAUAAACUCAUGACGACUCUCUGAAAAAGUCACCUUCAUUUCAUCUGCCAUCUUAGAUGAUCAUUGCAUUCCAUGGUCCUUGUCUGUCUGCAGUACGUUCAAAGUGUAUUGUGCAUAAAGUGUGUCUUUAUACGUACAUCCAUCCUUGUUUAGUGUUCAUGGACAUUCUUGGGAAAAGUAUUUUUCGUAUCUUUGUU